AAGAAAGUUAGUCUAACCAAGACA
rnacentral:tRNA from 3 species